UUCGCCCUUAGAGUUUGAUCCUGGCUCAGGACGAACGCUGGCGGCGUGCUUAACACAUGCAAGUCGAACGGAGCACCCUUGAAAGAGACUUCGGUCAAUGGAGAGGAAUGCUUAGUGGCGGACUGGUGAGUAACGCGUGAGGAACCUGCCUUCCAGAGGGGGACAACAGUUGGAAACGACUGCUAAUACCGCAUAACGUAUUGGGGCCGCAUGACCCUGAUACCAAAGAUUUAUCGCUCUGAGAUGGACUCGCGUCUGAUUAGCUAGUUGGCGGGGUAACGGCCCACCAAGGCGACGAUCAGUAGCCGGACUGAGAGGUUGGCCGGCCACAUUGGGACUGAGACACGGCCCAGACUCCUACGGGAGGCAGCAGUGGGGAAUAUUGGGCAAUGGGCGCAAGCCUGACCCAGCAACGCCGCGUGAAGGAAGAAGGCUUGCGGGUUGUAAACUUCUUUUCUCAGGGACGAAGAAAGUGACGGUACCUGAGGAAUAAGCCACGGCUAACUACGUGCCAGCAGCCGCGGUAAUACGUAGGUGGCAAGCGUUAUCCGGAUUUACUGGGUGUAAAGGGCGUGUAGGCGGGAGUGCAAGUCAGAUGUGAAAACCACGGGCUCAACCUGUGGCCUGCAUUUGAAACUGUACUUCUUGAGUACUGGAGAGGCAGACGGAAUUCCUAGUGUAGCGGUGAAAUGCGUAGAUAUUAGGAGGAACACCAGUGGCGAAGGCGGUCUGCUGGACAGCAACUGACGCUGAGGCGCGAAAGCGUGGGGAGCAAACAGGAUUAGAUACCCUGGUAGUCCACGCUGUAAACGAUGGAAUAUUAGUGGUGGGGGGACUGACCCCCUCCGUGCCGCAGUUAACACAAUAAGUAUCCCCACCUGGGGGAGUACCGAUCGCAAGGUUUGAAACUCAAAGGAAUUGACGGGGGGCCCGCACAAGCGGUGGAGUAUGUGGUUUAAUUCGAAGCAACGCGAAGAACCUUACCAGGGCUUGACAUCCCGAGGCCAGACCUAGAGAUAGGUCCUUCUCUUCGGAGACCUCGGUGACAGGUGGUGCAUGGUUGUCGUCAGCUCGUGUCGUGAGAUGUUGGGUUAAGUCCCGCAACGAGCGCAACCCUUAUUGUUAGUUGCUACGCAAGAGCACUCUAGCGAGACUGCCGUUGACAAAACGGAGGAAGGUGGGGACGACGUCAAAUCAUCAUGCCCCUUAUGUCCUGGGCCACACACGUACUACAAUGGUGGUCAACAGAGGGAAGCAAAACCGCGAGGUGGAGCAAAUCCCUAAAAGCCAUCCCAGUUCGGGUCGCAGGCUGCAACCCGCCUGCGUGAAGUUGGAAUCGCUAGUAAUCGCGGAUCAGCAUGCCGCGGUGAAUACGUUCCCGGGCCUUGCACACACCGCCCGUCA
rnacentral:rRNA from 1 species